GUAGGGGGCAAGCGUUGUCCGGAUUUAUUGGGCGUAAAGAGCGUGUAGGCGGCCGGGUAGGUCGGUUGUGAAAACUAGAGGCUUAACCUCUAGACGUCGACCGAAACCAUCUGGCUAGAGUCCGGAAGAGGAGAGUGGAAUUCCUGGUGUAGCGGUGAAAUGCGCAGAUAUCAGGAAGAACACCCGUGGCGAAAGCGGCUCUCUAGGACGGUACUGACGCUGAGACGCGAAAGCGUGGGGAGCGAACAGGAUUAGAUACCCUGGUAGUCCACGCCGUAAACGAUGGGUGCUAGGUGUGGGAGGUGUCGACUCCUCCCGUGCCGCAGCUAACGCAUUAAGCACCCCGCCUGGGGAGUACGGCCGCAA
rnacentral:rRNA from 1 species